rnacentral:rRNA from 1 species
GAUGAACGCUGGCGGCGUGCCUAAUACAUGCAAGUCGAGCGAACAGACGAGGAUCUUGCUCCUCACACGUUAGCGGCGGACGGGUGAGUAACACGUGGAUAACCUCCCUAUAAGACUGGGAUAACUUCGGGAAACCGGAGCUAAUACCGGAUAAUAUAUUGAACCGCAUGGUUCAAUAGUGAAAGACGGUUUUGCUGUCACUUAUAUAUGGAUCCGCGCCGCAUUAGCUAGUUGGUAAGGUAACGGCUUACCAAGGCAACGAUGCGUAGCCGACCUGAGAGGGGGAUAGGCGCCACUGCAAGUGGAUGACGGGCCAGACUGCGACGGGGGGACGCAGCAGGGAAUCAUGGGCAACAGGAGAGAGCAAGACGGAGCAACGCGGCGUAGGCGAUGAAGGUCAUGGGAUGUGAAAACUCUGUUAUUAGGGAAGGACAACUGUGUAAGUAACUAUGCACGCCUUGACGGUAUCUAAUGAGAAAGCAACGGCUAACUACGUG